CUUCCUGGCUCGUGACAGAGACUUCCUAUGCCUUCUUUAAGUAAAGAUGCAGGCUGGCCUGGAACUUGGCAUACAAUGCAGCCUUCCUUUGCUCUUCUCCGGCCUCUUGUUGUCAGCCACCUGAAUGCUGGAAUUACAGAGACGGUAUCUGUAAUCAUUAGGAGGGCAUUGAAUCAGGCAGCCAAAGCAAGAAGCUGGCUGGUCACAUAUUUAACCACAAGGUAGCGGAGACGGUCGACUACAAGUGAAACAAGGCCAUAUACCUUCAAAGUUUACUUCAGACAGAAAGGCUGCACCUCCUAAAGUCCAUAGCCACCCUAAAUGGUGCUACCAACCAGGAAGCAAGUGUCCAGAUAUGUGAACCUGUGGGGGACAUUCCUCAGUCAAACCACCACAAAGGGAAUGCACAGAUGAUUUUGAAAUCUAUACAGUCUGUUACUGGCAAAUUAUUCUAUAGUCUUACUUGGUGGAUCUGAUUUAUUGAGCUAUGACGGCAUGAAGGUGUUUUCUGUGCCCUGAUAGAAGUGCAGCUUGCUACACUAAGGCCAACUCAGAAAGGCUUUCUCAGUUGUAUCUUUCACACUCUUCAGGAAAUUUGUGACAUCAGUACCCCCAGUCCCUCUGUUUUCCACAUUUGAGGGCUCUUCUGACUUGCGGCCAUCUGUGGGCUUCUGCCUGGAAGGUUUCACAAUGAGCUGACUGAUUUCAUGAGUGGACUCUAUGUGUGUCUCUGUCUUUAAAUUACACAUGGCAAUAAAAAUACCUGAAGAGAGCACCAGUAACAUUCGGCACUAAGUCGUAAAAGGCACUGAGAAACCAACGCUCUUCCU